ensembl:lncRNA
AAGUGGUCAUCAGCAAGUGUGGAGCCAAACGACAACAAGAUUCUCAGAGGGCGGAGCCAGAGAGCAGUGAUUGGUCAGACCAUAGAUAAUAUAGAAGACAGCGCGCUAGUGUAUCUAGUCUACUAUGUAUAUCUAUGGUCUGCACGUCUGGUAGCAUCUCUGGCUGCUGUUGAUCUUGUUUUUGGAGUAAAACACGGUGGAAGCUGAAUUAGUGAGGAUGACUCCUGCUCCUGUCAUCUCUAAGCUCCUCACACAUCUUUACCUGCACAUGAGGAAAAUCACUCCUGUAGAAUGCAGUGGUUCAUCAGAACCUCUGGGGAUGUCCUGUGGAUCCUGUGGGUUGCAGGGUGGGUCCUACCUAGACCAGGCUGAUCCUGGACCAUCCCACAGAUGCUCCAUCAGAUCUGGAUGUGGGGAGUGUGGAACCCAGGUGAACAGCUUAGCUCUGUCG